UGUACUAAAAAAACACAAGCCCAUUGUAUGAGGAAAGAUAUGUAGUUAGAGAGCACAGGCCCAGUGUAUAUGGGAAAGGAGUGUAUCAAUGAGCACCAGCUGUCUCCCCCCUAACGUAUCAUCCGGCUAGCAAAGGAAGAAAGAUACAGGUGGACCAAGGUCGACCUAGGCAACCAAAAUGUGGGAAAUAAAUACAAAUGUACUCAAAAAACACAAGCCCAUUGUAUGGGGAACCGGCAGCAGGGGAACGCUUCAUACUAAAUAGAUACAAUAAGAACAAACACGUAAUACACACAUAAUUUCUGCCCUGCUGACUAAGCUGUAUAAAGGCGCCUUUGUGAAACUAACGGAAGCUUCUGCCUUUUUUGGAAAAUGUGUUAUCAGAAUAUGUGACUUAUGAUAGAAGAGGGAGGGUGAGACAGGCGGGAGACGAGCACUAGGGAGGGGCUGAUAAACAAUGGUGUCCGAGAGUUGGGAGUCAGAUAAAAAUAAUGAUGUCAACAACAUUACGUAAUUAACAAAAUUAAAUGGGAAGUACUAGAUUUAAGCUACACAACAGGAGGAGUUAGAAAAUGGAUAUAAGAGGCAGUUGGCCCGAGGGGAGAGUGUGUGGGUGUGUGUGCGCGCACAUGGUGUGUGUUUUGGGAAUGCUUGGAGAAUGAUCUGAUGUAUUGUCUUUACUUAUGAGUGAUUGAUAAUUGUACUGAACUGCGCAGAUCAGCCCGGGUUAUUUUAUGUAAUCUUUGAUUUACCAACAAUAAACCCAGUUGCAUCAGACUCUGAGAAGUGUGCAUCUUUUGAAGAAGCAUUCAACAGUGUGGAGGAGAGCGACCUCGGCGUUUCUGGCCCAGGCCGGGGCCCGCUUUCUCCCUCCCACAACAAGGCGACUUUUCCGACGUCAUCCAGUGGCACAAAGUUUGCGGAGGGCUUCAAGACUCUUGGAUUACUUGAACACCUCCAGAUAUACCCUGCCCUCUUCCAUGAGAUGUUUGUCUGUGAAGAAAGACCACUUCAGGCCAGGGACCUGAUCAAUCUUUUCACUGUGGACUUCUCCAUGCAGGGCAGCAAUAGAAGAUCUUGAGAAAAACCAGACAGUAUGCUUCUGGAGAGACUGGUUGAUUGAUAUUGAGGAAGAGGAAGCUGGCCCUAUCACUCUUGAGACUGUCUUGGAGUUUGCCUCUGGAGCCUCAGCAGUGCCUCCCCUUUGAUCUCCCCACAAGCCACAAAUCCUGUUUCUCCAUGAGGGCAGAAAAAUCUUCCCAGAAGCAAAUACUUGUCUUCUUGUACUCCACCUGCCAAUGCACUCUUCCUAUGAAGCCUUCAAGAAAUACAUGAUGGAGGGAAUUUUGCAAGCUCCAACAUUUAGAGUUGCAUAAUUUGUCAUGAAUGUCACUAUAAUGUAAAAAAAUUAACAUUUUUGCACACGUUGAUGUGCUUUGUUAGUGGUAUUUUUCUAACAAUGUUGAUUCAGAUUGAAAUUUUAUAGGUAACCGAUACCCGCAGUUUGUCUAGAAUCUUAUGCAGUAAUGUGGUUUAUACAAAGUAUUGAAAAUUACGUCUUGUGUCCACAAUUGGAAAUAUGCAUUAGUUCUGUUCACUUUUCAUAGAUUCAAGGCUGCACCAAGUAACUUCAGUUGACUCUGAACAAAACAUGUUAGAGGGAAGGUCAGUGUCAGAGUGACUUAACAGGUUAUUAAAUAUUGAGUUUUUCAGAGCACUUAAGUAAAUUUUUGCUGUUAGAACACAAGUUAGAUUAAUCAACUGUGAGGGAGGGGAAGUGUGAAGACCAGACAGGGGGAUCUACAAGUUACCAAAGGGCACUCCA